UGCUUGUCUCAAGGANUNNGCCAUGCAGUGUGAGUAUGAGUGAAUUGUACAACGAAACUGCGAAUGGCUCGGUAAAACAGCUAUAGUUUCUUCGGUGGUAAAUGCUACUUGGAUACCCGUAGUAAUUCUAGAGCUAAUACAUGCCACAAAGCGGUGCUUGCACCGUGGUAUAAAUUAGAGAUACAAACCAAUGUUUGGUGAUUCAUAAUUUCUUUUCUGAUUGCCAUUAGGCGACGCACCGUUCAAAUUUCUGACCUAUCAACUUUGGAUGGUAAGGUAUUGUCUUACCAUGGUUGUGACGGGUAACGGACCGUGGGUGCGGGACUCCGGAGAGGGAGCCUGAGAAACGGCUACCACAUCCAAGGAAGGCAGCAGGCGCGUAAAUUACCCAAUCCGGACACCGGGAGGUAGUGACAAGAAAUAGCAAUAGAGGGCCCAACGGGUUUUCUAAUUGGAAUGAGAACAAGGUAAACAGCUUAUCGAGGAGCCAGCAGAGGGCAAGUCUGGUGCCAGCAGCCGCGGUAAUUCCAGCUCUGUAAGCGUAUACCAAAGUUGUUGCAGUUAAAACGCUCGUAGUCGGAAGUUGGCGGGCGAUCAGGGGCGUCUUCACGGACGUGUUUUGAUUGGCCGCCUUUGUGGAGGGGGGCCCAGUGGUGCUUCACUGCGUCACUGUGGUCGCUGCCACCGUUUACUGUGAAAAAAUUAGAGUGUUCAAAGCGGGCGUUUGCCAUGAAUACAUUAGCAUGGAAUAAUAGAAUAGGACCUGUUUCCUGUUUUGUUGGUUUGUGAGGAUCGGGUAAUGAUUAAGAGGGACGGUUGGGGGCAUUUGUAUUCCGGCGUCAGAGGUGAAANUCUGGGAUUGUCGG
rnacentral:rRNA from 1 species